AGCACCAUAGCUCAGUGGUUAGAGCACCAUGACCUAAGUGGAAGGUUGCAGGUUCAAAUGCUGCUGGAGCCA